GCAGUCGAACGAGAAAGCACCCUUCGGGGUGUGAGUAGAGUGGCGAACGGGUGAGUNNCGCGUGGGGAACCUGCCCCUGAGCGGGGGAUAACGCUCCUAACGGAGCGCUAAUACCGCAUGACACCGGAACCCGGCAUCGGGAUCCGGUCAAAGAUGGCCUCUGUUUCAAGCUGUCACUUAGGGAUGGCCCCGCGUCCGAUUAGCUUGUUGGUAGGGUAACGGCCUACCAAGGCGACGAUCGGUAGCCGGCCUGAGAGGGUGUCCGGCCACACUGGGACUGAGAUACGGCCCAGACUCCUACGGGAGGCAGCAGUCGAGAGGCUUCCACAAUGGGGGAAACCCUGAUGGAGCGACGCCGCGUGGGUGAGGAAGGUCUUCGGAUCGUAAAACCCUGUCAGGAGGGAAGAAAACCGGAUUGGCUAAUACCCUUUCCGCUUGACGGUACCUCCAGAGGAAGCUCCGGCUAACUCCGUGCCAGCAGCCGCGGUAACACGGAGGGAGCAAACGUUGUUCGGAAUCACUGGGCGUAAAGGGCGCGUAGGCGGCUUCUUAAGUCGGGGGUGAAAUCCUAUGGCUCAACCAUAGGCCUGCCCCCGAAACUGGGUAGCUUGAGUCCGUGAGAGGAAAGCGGAAUUCCUGGUGUAUCGGUGAAAUGAGUUGAUAUCAGGAGGAACACCGGUGGCGAAGGCGGCUUUCUGGUGCGGUACUGACGCUGAGGUGCGAAAGCAUGGGG
rnacentral:rRNA from 1 species